UUUUUUUUUAAAAGCCCGCACACGCUUGGCCUAUAUAAGAGGAUAAAGACAGUAUGGAUCAUUACCAGGUGAAGUGAAAACGGUGGUUCUAUCGAUGAAAGCUGCAUUGUGCAUUAUUAACUCAACGGCGCGCAUAAAACACUGGUUUCCUCGACAGAGCACCACCCCACAUAUAGUCUUUGCUGUCAAUUCAGGGCAGCGAGUCUCUCUCGCGUCUGUAGUCACCUCGAACACAACGAAGCCGUGACCUGGGAUUCGAGCGACGUGUGUCAUUGAACUGAUUCAUUCUACAGAGAAAUGCGAAGUUUUAACAUCUUUAUUCUCAGUUCGGCUAUUUUAUUUUUGGUGAUUGCUGAAAUCGCCAAUCUACCUUCGUGAAUCAGAAAACUAACUCUAAUGGGUUUGGACUGACAGUUUAUCACUUUGCCAUCAUUUCUGUAAACUCCUUGCUGACAUUUACCUACAUUGUUUGCUUUGAUAUUGCCACUGAUUUUUCACGUUGUUUUCACACAUUUUCAUUGGAUAAUGCUAUUUGCUGCACUGGGCCUGCUUACAUUUGGAACAGUUGCAUUUGUAAUUAGGCUUAAUGUUUUUACAUAUUGUCCUGUGUUCUAAGGACCAGGAGGAUUCACUAUUGGACUGAACUGUGGGUAAAAAAAUCAGUGACAACGAAAAGAAGUUGCUUUCGCAAUCCUUACAUUCCACUUGCUUUCGCAAUGAGUGAUACAUGCCAUCAACAGGAUUACUCAAUUGUCUUGUUUUUAGUUGGUGACUGAUUUUAUUGCACCCGUCGCUUCCCCACCUCUGUGGUACCAGCAGCAGGACGAACGUGGAGGAGACAGCACGGUGGUCUGUGGUCGUGAAGGGAUGUCAUUGUUUAUUGAAACCCUACGAAGGAACGCAGAAAUGCAUUACACUCCCAGUGGUGUAGAGUGUGGGUGUAGACGAUGUUAUUGUGCUGCCUCUUCAGGAAUAUCUAUAGGGUGGGUCUACGCUUCAGAGGCUGUGACACAGCUGGCAAGUUGCUACAGGAGUCCGAACGACGCUGCCUAUAAAAUCUUGCUAUCUUGCCAGCAAGCACGGGUUUAGCAGCAUACAUGUCAACGUAAUUUAAUGUGAAAUAUGAGAAGCAUUUCCCUUUAUGUGAAAUGCAUCGCUCCCGCUGUUGUUUCAGUUGUUAAAGCGACACGUUUUACAAUAUCUAGAGAAGGAAUGUGUUCGUAUCCAACUUGGGAGAAAAUGAGCAACGCAAAAUAUUAUCGCGUGGGCACUAUUUCAGCAUCAGCAAAUCUCCCUCAGUUUAAAUGAGUCAAAUACGGUUCAGAUGUAGUCUAACGCCUACUCUAUUAGAAGGGAGUCUAUUCUGUCGGAUUGGAUUCAGCACUGAAAUGUUUUCAAUGCACACUGUAAGCAUUACUUCUGCAUUCUCCGUGUGCGCAGGGAGGGUAAGGGUAAAUGUCAGGAUUUCUUACUGGAUGUGGAGCAAUUUCUACGUUUUUUUUACCGAAGCAGCACCUGACGGCCAGCGGAUGGGCCUGACCUGAUAAUGCAUGUGACACACGCCUGUAGUUAAGGCAUUUUCCACCCCACACCAAAAGCAAGACAAGUGCAAUAAUCAGGUGGACCCAAGACCCGAAGACCGAUUCCAGGAUCGGGACUGCUGGAUUCUCCUCGGCGAGUGGCCAAAACACACAGGAGACCCAAAAAACAAACGAAUGUACGCUUUUAUUAAACUCCAGAGAACAGCAGUUUGACAUUACACAAGCACAGAUUAAACUUGCACUAUGCAACAGACAAUGUUACAGACCUAUGCAUAACAUGCAUGCUUUUUUUAUCAUCAUUUUUUUUAGUCAGUAAACACUGCUUGUUCUGAAGGUCAAAAAGCUGUGACAUAACUAGAUACAGAAAUGGAACCGUGAACACAAAAAGGAAUGUCCACACCUAAAGUCAUGAAAGGUACAACCAAGGAGACCCAACCCCACCCCAAAGAAGAAGAAACUUGUGAACUUGUAGAUUUCCUCUACCUCUCCUCCUGUGUAACGAGGCGGACAGUGAACAAAACCAAAAUACUGACCGUUAAACAAACUAACAAAAAAAAAAAACAUACAAAAUAAAAAUAA